GCAUCGGCUGAGGAAUGAUGCAUCUGGAAAGAGAGAGAGAGAGAGAGAGAGAGAGGGAGAGAAAGAGAGAGAGAGAGAGGGAGAGUCGUGCGCGCUGAGCCAUGAGCCAUUUUUGGGAAGCUCUUCGUGACAGUCGGCUGAGUCGUGAUCUUUGGAGAGGAGAAAAUUUACGCAUGGUGCGCAACAUUGAUCCGAUCCACCGGCCACAUUUCCAUUGACAGUAUUUCCUCCAUCACAAAAGGGCAUAGCCUGGUUGCUAAUAUUAGCACUUCCACUGGCCAGAAGCUCUAUGACCAAGAAAAAACAACUGAAAAACUACUUCAAGAAGCCAUAACAACACAAUGAAAGGACUUUCUGUCUGUAUUUAACAAUGGAGAACAAGAGAAGAACAAGCAACCAUACUGACCUGGAGAAAUGCCUUUCCUGGAAGGAGCACCGCUUCAGGUUUUGAUGUGUCAAAAGAAAGAGACAUGGAGUGAUGCUGAUGCCAGCUUUGAGGUAGAUUCACAUAAAAUGAUCUCCUAGGAUUUCAGGCUAUAUAGCUCACAUAGCUAUUAAUAUAACUAAGAAAAAAAGACUAAGCUGAUAUAUACAGAUAGAUUUAUUGGAUGUUAAUUAAUAUUACGUAGAUCAGAGGUGUCCAAUCUUAACCACAAAGGGCCAGUGUGGGUGCAUUUUUUCAUCCAUGCAGGAGCUACACCUGAUUCCACCUGUUUAACCAGUUGACCUUGACUUUCAGUAGACUCAGGUGUGGCUUCUGCUUGAUUGGCAUGAAAACCUGCUCCCACACCGGCCCUUUCUGGAUAGGAUAAGAUGAGUUAGAUUAAAAAGUGUCCCUUACAUGAAUAUUCAGCUACUUUUAACUUAAAUUUACCAUAAUGCAUGAAUCUGUGUUACUUUUCUUGGCUGUUUCCUUUUUAUCAUUUCUUAAUAUAUUGGAGGUAAAAUGUGUAAUUCAUGUUCAAAAUCCAAUCUGUAAACAUUAAACAAAAUGUCCUGUUAGUGUCUGUUCAAUAAAAGCACUAAACUGUAAACAA